rnacentral:pre_miRNA from 1 species
GUGUGUGGAUGGUGUUCAGCACCAGGGACAGGAAUGUUCGCCUGAAUGUGUGGAUGGUGUUCAACACAAGGGACAGGUGUGCUUACCU